CUUGGUCAUCUUAUUUCUUAGGGCUAGGGUCCUUUUUUCAGAAUUUCAGCCUGACAGAAGCAAGGAUAUGCAUAUAAUUGGCACCAUUGGAUAGAAAACACUUUGAUGUUUGUAGAAAUGUUCAAAUAAUGUAUGAGACUAUAACACAAUUGACAUGGUAGGAGAAAACCAACCAGAUUCUUUUUCUUUUUUGAGAUCCCAUGCUCUUACAAUGGAAAGGUAUGUGUCCUAUGUAAUUCCAGCUCCCAGAUUGCAAUUCCUAUGGCUUCCACUAGAUGUCAACAGUCUUUGUUCAAAGUUUCAGCCUUGUUUCUUCCCAAACGAGGAAGAAAUUUGAGUUUUGGUACUGGGAGUCACAGUUUGAAAUCAGUCUGUGGGCACGGGACGAAGAGGACGCACACUUGCUAAUUUUACUUUUCUAUCGAACAUACUUCUUUCUGUAUGAAAUAUUAUAGGUUAAUUACAUUUUAGGGUACCUGAGGAUUAAAUAGAAACGUAGUUUGACUUGUUUUAACAAAGUUUAGCUGUAGCUUUUUGGAUUCCUUUGUCUGCAUGUUGAACGAGUGGAUUACUGAAAUCGAUGGCACCAACUAAACUGACUUUUUGGGAUAUAAAGAAGGACUUUAUCUAACAAAACGACCAUGCAUGUUGUAGCUGGGACCCUUUGGAUUGCAAAUCAGAGGAAGAUUUUCAAAAAAUGAUCGUUACAGAACUACCCACCACAACUGGAUCAAGCAGCGUGAUCGGGAGGAGAUGGACACCUGGUCUCGUCAGGAGUGGCUGGUGAGGAAAGACUGGACAUGGGGCCAGGUGAUCGAAAGAUAUCGGAGCCUACCCGGGAAGAAGGAGAGACAGCUCCAAGAUUUUUUUUUGGGGGGGCCACACAGGACGGUUGGCGGUGCCGAGGAUGGAACCAGAGCCAGUCAGGGUGAAGUUGGAGGUGAGCGAAGGGAGCGAAGCAGAGACGGUGAAGGAGUUGAUGGGGAGAUUGGAGGAGAGAGAUAUGAGAGAGCUGCUGUGUUGGUGCUGCUGUGUUGGUCCCCUCUUUCAGAUGAUCGUUACACACACAUACUGCCAGCAAGCUGCAGGAUUGGCCUACAGGCACAACUGCAGCUAGCAACUCAAAUAAAUUGAAUGAAACAUUGCAAAUGCACACAAUCUUGAAAUACACUGAACCAAAUAAAUACAUAUAAAUACAACAGUCCAUGUAGUUCAUAUAAGGAAAUCAGUCAAUUUAAAUACAUUCAUUAGGCCCAAAUCUAUGGAUUUCACAUGCCUCGGAGUGCAUAUAUGCAUAUGUUGGUCACAGAUACAUUUGGCCAUGUAGUGUAUGUGGAUUUUGCUAUUUUAGCCUCACCCGUUUCUGACAGGUGUAUAAAAUCGAGCACACAGCCAUGCAAUCUCCAUAAACAGAUAUUGGCAGUAGAAUGGCCCGUAGUGAAGAGCUCAAUGACUUUCAACGUGGCACCGUCAUAGGAUGCCACCUUUCCAACACGUUAGUUUGUCAAAUUUCUGCCCUGUUCGAGCUUCCCCGGUCAACUGUAAGUGCUGUUAGUGUGAAAUGGAAAUGUCUAGCAGCAAGAACGGCUCAGCCGCAAAGUGGUAGGCCACACCAGCUCAUAGAACGGGACCGCUGAAUCGUGUAGCGUGCGCAAUGCCAAGCGUCAGCUGGAGUGGUGUAAAGCUCUGGAGCAGUGAAAACACGUUCUUUGGAGUGAUGAAUCCCGCUUCACCAUCUAACGGAUGAAUCUGGGUUUGGCGGAUGCCAGGAGAAUGCUACCUGCCCGAAUGCAUAGUGCCAACUGUAAAGUUUGGUGGAGGAGGAAUAUGGUCUGGUGCUGUUUUUCAUGGUUUGGGCUAGGCCCCUUAGUUCAAGUGAAGGGAAAUCUUAACGCUACAACAUACAAUGGCAUUCUAAAUGAUUCUGUGCUAACAACUUUGUGGCAACAGUUUGGGGAAGGCCCUUUCCUGUUUCAGCAUUACAAUGCCCCCGUUCACAAAGCGAGGUCCAUACAGAAAUGGUUUGUCGAGAUCGGUAUAUAAGAACUUGAUUGGCCAGCACAGAGCCCUAACCUCAACCCCAUUCCCUUUGGGAUGAAUUGGAACGUUGACUGCGAGCCAGGCCUAAUCACCCAACAUCAGUGUCUGACCUCACUAAUGCACUUUUGGCUGUAUGGAAGAAAGUCCAUGCAGCAAUCUUCCAACAUCUAGUCGAAAGCCUUCCCAGAAGAGUGGAGGCUGUUAUAGCAGCAAAGAGGGGCAACCAACUCCAUAUUAAUGCCCAUGACUGUAAUGAGAUGCUCGUCUAGCACUUUUGGCCAUGUAGUGUGCCUUAAAAAAAAGGUAGGGGCGUGGAUCAGAAAACCAGUAUCUGGUGUGACCACCAUUUGCCUCAUGCAGCACGACAUAUUUCCUUCGCAUAGAGUUGAUAAUGCUGUUGAUUGUGGCAUGUGGAAUGUUGUCCCACUCUUCAAUUGCUGUGCGAAGUUGCGGGAACUGGAACACGCUGUUGUACACAUCGAUCCAGAGCAUCCCAAACAUGCUCAAUGUUUGACAUGUCUGGUGAGUAUGCAGGCCAUGGAAGAAUUGGGAUAUUUUCAGCUUCCAGGAAUUGUGUACAGAUCCUCGCGACAUGAGAUUGUGCAUUAUCAUGCUGAAACAUGAGGUGAUGGCGUUGGAUGAAUGGCUCGACAAUGGGCCUCAGGUUCUCCCCACGGUAUUUCUGUGCAUUCAAAUUGUCAUUGAUAAAAUGCAAUAUUGUUUGUUGUUCCUAGCUUAUGCCUGCCCAUACCAAAACACCACGUCCACCAUGGGGCACUCUGUUCACAACGUUAACAUCAGCAAACCGCUUACCCACGUGAAGCCGUACACGCUGUCUACCAUCUCCCCGGUACAGUUUAAAACCGGGAUUCAUCUGUGAAGAGCACACUUCUCCAGUGUUCCAGUGGUCAUUGAAGGUGAGCAUUUGCCCAUUGAAGUUGAUUACAACGCCGAACUGCAGUCAGGUCAAGACCCUGGUGAGCAUGACGAGCACACAGAUGCGCUUCCUUGAGACGGGUUCUGACAGUUUGUGCAGAAAUUCUUCAGUUGUGCAAACCCACAGUUUCAUUAGCUGGCCGGAUGGCUGGUCCCGCAGUUGAAGAAGCGGUUCUGGGCUGGUGUUGGUCUGCAGUUGUGAGGCCAGUUCAACAUACUGCCAUAUUCUAUUAAACAACAUUGAGACAUCUGUGUCAUCGUGUUGUGUGACAAAACUGCACAUUUUAGAGUGGAGACCAGAUGCUGAAGUGGUGCUUUGAGGGCUAGUGGGAGGCACUAUUUCCUCUGGUCUAAAAAAGAUCCCAAUGCCACAGGGCAGUGUUUGGGAACAUUUCCAUGUGUAGGGUGCUGUCUUUUGGAUGGGGAUGUGAAACGGGUGUCCUGACUCUCUGUGGUCACUAAAAGAUCCCAUGUUACUUAUCGUAAGAGCAUGGGUGUUAACCCCAGUGGCCUAGCUAAAUUCCCAAUCUGGCCCUCAUACCAUAAUGGCCACCUAAUCACCCCCUGCUUCCUAUUGGCUCAGUCAUCCCCCCUCCACUCCCCUGUAACUAUUCCCCAAGUCGUUGCUGUAAAUGAGAAUGUGUUCUCAGUCAAAUGACCUGGAAAACUUCUGUCAAUUCUUUUUACAAGUAUUUCCACAGAUGUUGAACCCGAUUUAAGUCAAAACUGUAAUUAUGCCACUCAGGAACAUUCAAUGUCGUCUUGGUAAGCAACUCCAGUGUAUAUUUGGCCUUGUGUUUUGUGGAGUUAGUAUUGUAGAGUAACUACAAUGUUGUUAAUCCAUUCUCAGCCAUUAAACUUAACUGUUUUAAAGUCACCAUCGGCCUCAUGGUGAAAUCCCUGAGACGAUUUUCUUCCUCUCCGACAACUGAGUUAGGAAGGACGCCUGUGUCUUUGUAGUGACUGAGUAUAAUGGUACAGUAUCCAAAGUGUAAUUAAUAACUUCACUGUGCUACAUGUAAAAGGGAUAUUCAAUGUCUGCUUUUAUUUUUGCCCAUCUAACAGCAGGUGCCUUUCUUAACAAGGCAUUGGAAAACCUCUCUCGUCUUUGUGGUUGAAUCUGUGUUUGAAAUUCCCUGCUCGACUCUGUGUGGGGUACAGAGAUGGGGUAGUCAUUCAAAAAUCAUGUUAAACACUAUUUUUGCGCACAGUGAGUCCAUGCAACUUAUGUGACUUGUUAAGCAAAUCUUUACUCCUGAACUUAUUUAUGUUUGCCAUAACAAAAGGGUGGAAUACUUAUUGACUCAAGACAUUUCAGCUUACAUUUUUUUAUUAAUUUGUAAACGUUUUUAAAAACAUAAUGCCUCUUUGACAUUAGGUGGUAUUGUGUCUGUUUAGGCCAGGGACACACAAUCUCAAUUGAAUCCAUUUAAAAUUAUGUCUGUAACACAAGAAAAAGCCAAGGGUUGUGAAUACUCUGAAGCAUUUAGCAGAAUGAUAAAAUAAAAUGGAUGCCACCUGCAGUUUAGGCCUGACAUGAGAGAAGGGCUUCCCUAAGCAGUGCCAGUCUAAAACUGAAAUACCUAACAAGGUAGUAUCCUUAUACUCAGUAUUUGUAUUAUGUAUUCUAGUAUUUUUCGCUCAUCUUUAUGAAACUAGGUUUGCUGUUCACUUGCUCUAUAUAAGAUGGAAGGGAGUUUCAUGCACUCAUGGCUCUGUAUAAUACUGUACGUUUCCUUGAAUUUGUUCUGGACCUGAGUGAAAAGACCCCUGGUGGCAUGUCUGGUGGGGUAAGUGUGUGUGUCAGUGCUGUGUGUAAGUUGACUAUGCAAACAAUUUGGAAUUUCCAACACAUUCAUGUUUCUUAUAAAAACAAGAAGUGACUCAGUCAGUGUUUCCUCAACUCUUAACCAAGAUAUAUAUACUGGCAUGUAGUGUAUUAAUAUUAGCCCUCUGAUUACAUUGAAGAGCAAGACGUGC
rnacentral:lncRNA from 1 species